rnacentral:rRNA from 1 species
CGCGCAGGCGGCAUCGCAAGUCGGUCUUAAAAAGUGCGGGGCUUAACCCCGUGAGGGGACCGAAACUGUGAAGCUCGAGUGUCGGAGAGGAAAGCGGAACUCCUAGUGUAGCGGUGAAAUGCGUAGAUAUUAGGAGGAACACCAGUGGCGAAAGCGGCUUUCUGGACGACAACUGACGCUGAGGCGCGAAAGCCAGGGGAGCAAAACGG